AGAUUGAACGCUGGCGGCAUGCCUUACACAUGCAAGUCGAACGGUAGAGGGAGCAAUCCUUCGAGAGUGGCGAACGAGUGAGUAAUAUAUCGGAACGUGCCCAGUCGUGGGGGAUAACGUAGAGAAAUUUACGCUAAUACCGCAUACGAUCUAAGGAUGAAAGCGGGGGACCUCGCAAGGGGCCUCGCGCGAUUGGAGCGGCUGAUAUCAGAUUAGGUUGUUGGUGAGGUAAAAGCUCACCAAGCCGACGAUCUGUAGCUGGUUUGAGAGAACGACCAGCCACACUGGGACUGAGACACGGCCCAGACUCCUACGGGAGGCAGCAGUGGGGAAUUUUGGACAAUGGGCGAAAGCCUGAUCCAGCAAUGCCGCGUGCAGGAAGAAGGCCUGGUUGUAAACUGCUUUGUACGGAACGAAAAGGACUUGCCUUAAUACGGCGAGCCAUGACGGUACCGUAAGAAUAAGCAACCGCUAACUACGUGCCAGCAGCCGCGUAACG
rnacentral:rRNA from 1 species